CUCGUUUAUUUUUUUUUUUUUUUUUUUUUUUUUUUUUUUUCUUGUUUUGGGCUUUGGAUCUGCUGGGUUUUGGGCUAUAACAAAGACAGGGAAUAAGAAUUUGUCAAACCCAGAAUACGAAGACAUGACCAUCCAAAGAGUAUAGAAAUUAAAACCUUUUGCAUCUUGCCCUUGGAUAUGAAUGACUAGGCCACGUUCUCCAGGCUAUC
rnacentral:lncRNA from 1 species